rnacentral:rRNA from 1 species
UACGGAGGAUGCAAGCGUUAUCCGGAAUGAUUGGGCGUAAAGAGCUCGUAGGCGGUUUGUCGCGUCUGCCGUGAAAGUCCGGGGCUCAACUCCGGAUCUGCGGUGGGUACGGGCAGACUAGAGUGAUGUAGGGGAGACUGGAAUUCCUGGUGUAGCGGUGAAAUGCGCAGAUAUCAGGAGGAACACCGAUGGCGAAGGCAGGUCUCUGGGCAUUAACUGACGCUGAGGAGCGAAAGCAUGGGGAGCGAACAGG